rnacentral:rRNA from 1 species
CCUACGGGAGGCAGCAGUCGAGAAUCAUUCACAAUGGGGGAAACCCUGAUGGUGCGACGCCGCAUGGGGGAAUGAAGGUCUUCGGAUUGUAAACCCCUGUCAUGUGGGAGCAAAUUAAAAAGAUCGUACCACACGAGGAAGAGACGGCUAACUCUGUGCCAGCAGCCGCGGUAAUACAGAGGUCUCAAGCGUUGUUCGGAAUCACUGGGCGUAAAGCGUGCGUAGGCUGUUUCGUAAGUCGUGUGUGAAAGGCGCGGGCUCAACCCGCGGACGGCACAUGAUACUGCGAGACUAGAGUAAUGGAGGGGGAACCGGAAUUCUCGGUGUAGCAGUGAAAUGCGUAGAUAUCGAGAGGAACACUCGUGGCGAAGGCGGGUUCCUGGACAUUAACUGACGCUGAGGCACGAAGGCCAGGGGAGCGAAAGGGAUUAGAUAACCUUGUAGUC